GACAGGGGUCUCAAGCGUUAAUCGGAAUCACUGGGCUUAAAGGGAGCGUAGGCUGGCCAGCAAGUGCUUUGUGAAAGCCCCCGGCUCAACCGGGGAACUGCACGGGAAACUAGCAGGCUUGAGUUCGGGAGAGGGAAGCGGAAUUUCGGGUGUAGCGGUGAAAUGCGCAGAUAUCCGAAGGAACACCGGUGGCGAAGGCGGCUUCCUGGACCGACACUGACGCUGAGGCGCGAAAGCUAGGGGAGCAAACGGG
rnacentral:rRNA from 1 species